GCAGAGAUGGCUCAGUAGUUAAGAGCACUGGCUGUUCUUCUAGAGGAUCUGGGUUCAAUUCCCAGCCACCACA
rfam:Mesocricetus auratus contig113641, whole genome shotgun sequence.